CAGCCGCCGCGGUAACACGUAGGGUGCGAGCGUUAAUCGGAAUUACUGGGCGUAAAGCGUGCGCAGGCGGUUUUGUAAGACAGGCGUGAAAUCCCCGGGCUCAACCUGGGAAUGGCGCUUGUGACUGCAAAGCUAGAGUGCGGCAGAGGGGGAUGGAAUUCCGCGUGUAGCAGUGAAGUGCGUAGAUAUGCGGAGGAACACCGAUGGCGAAGGCAAUCCCCUGGGCCUGCACUGACGCUCAUGCACGAAAGCGUGGGGAGCAAACAGGAUUAGAUACCCGAGUAGUCCCUGUCUCUUAUAC
rnacentral:rRNA from 1 species